GGGUCUGCUGGGAUGUGAUUGAAUGAUGGGAGCAAAUUUCCCCCUUGCUGUUAUCUUGAUACUGAGUGAGUUCUCAUGAGAUCUGGUUGAUUGAAAGUGUGUAGCACUU